ACUAGAGUAGCACUCGCAUAUCAAUAAGCGGAGGAAAAGAAACUAACAAGGAUUCCCCUAGUAACGGCGAGUGAAGCGGGAAGAGCUCAAAUUUGAAAUCUUAAAGGGUUUCCCUUUACGAAUUGUAGUUUAAAGAAGUGUUUUCUGUUGAGGUUUUGGUAAAAGUUCUUUGGAAUAGGACAUCAUAGAGGGUGAGAAUCCCGUAUUUGACCUUUACUUUCAACUUUGUGAUACACUUUCAAAGAGUCGGAUUGUUUGGGAAUGCAGUCCAAAAUGGGUGGUAAAUUUCAUCUAAAGCUAAAUAUUGGCGAGAGACCGAUAGCGAACAAGUACCGUGAGGGAAAGAUGAAAAGAACUUUGAAAAGAGAGUUAAACAGUACGUGAAAUUGUCAAAAGGGAAGCGUUUGACACCAGUGUUGUUUUUCUGAAAAUCAAUUAAAGAACUGUUUAUGCUAAGUUGUUUAGACUUUAUCAGCUAACUGUUUAGUUUUGAGCUUUUCUUUAAUGCACUUUUCAGUUAACAAGUCAACAUCAAUUUCUUUUGCUGUAAAAAAGCUUGAGGAAGGUGGCUUGAGAUUCGUCUUAAGUGUUUAUAGCCUCUUGCCUAUGCAGUCGGAGAGAUUGAGGUCUGCAGCGUAGAUCCUUCGGGGCUAAAUGCAUUUGUGCUAAGUUAUAGCAUUUUAUAGACAACUUGUUGACUAUGAUUUGUCUUGUAGCUUACUCGCUUAUGUUAUUUUACCUACGCUUAGGAUGUUGAUCUACAGAGCGAGAGU
rnacentral:rRNA from 1 species